AGUACGGUCUCGUGGGCUCGGAGAUGUGUAUAAGAGACAGAUUCUACUCUAACCGGCGAUUUCCGAAUGGGGAAACCCAGUGUGUUUCGACACACUAUCAUUAACUGAAUCCAUAGGUUAAUGAGGCGAACCGGGGGAACUGAAACAUCUAAGUACCCCGAGGAAAAGAAAUCAACCGAGAUUCCCCCAGUAGCGGCGAGCGAACGGGGAGGAGCCCAGAGCCUGAAUCAGUGUGUGUGUUAGUGGAAGCGUCUGGAAAGGCGCGCGAUACAGGGUGACAGCCCCGUACACAAAAAUGCACAUAUUGUGAGCUCGAUGAGUAGGGCGGGACACGUGGUAUCCUGUCUGAAUAUGGGGGGACCAUCCUCCAAGGCUAAAUACUCCUGACUGACCGAUAGUGAACCAGUACCGUGAGGGAAAGGCGAAAAGAACCCCGGCGAGGGGAGUGAAAAAGAACCUGAAACCGUGUACGUACAAGCAGUGGGAGCCUCUUAAUGGGGUGACUGCGUACCUUUUGUAUAAUGGGUCAGCGACUUAUAUUCUGUAGCAAGGUUAACCGAAUAGGGGAGCCGAAGGGAAACCGAGUCUUAACUGGGCGUUAAGUUGCAGGGUAUAGACCCGAAACCCGGUGAUCUAGCCAUGGGCAGGUUGAAGGUUGGGUAACACUAACUGGAGGACCGAACCGACUAAUGUUGAAAAAUUAGCGGAUGACUUGUGGCUGGGGGUGAAAGGCCAAUCAAACCGGGAGAUAGCUGGUUCUCCCCGAAAGCUAUUUAGGUAGCGCCUCGUGAAUUCAUCUCCGGGGGUAGAGCACUGUUUCGGCAAGGGGGUCAUCCCGACUUACCAACCCGAUGCAAACUGCGAAUACCGGAGAAUGUUAUCAUGGGAGACACACGGCGGGUGCUAACGUCCGUCGUGAAGAGGGAAACAACCCAGACCGCCAGCUAAGGUCCCAAAGUCAUGGUUAAGUGGGAAACGAUGUGGGAAGGCCCAGACAGCCAGGAUGUUGGCUUAGAAGCAGCCAUCAUUUAAAGAAAGCGUAAUAGCUCACUGGUCGAGUCGGCCUGCGCGGAAGAUGUAACGGGGCUAAACCAUGCACCGAAGCUGCGGCAGCGACACUAUGUGUUGUUGGGUAGGGGAGCGUUCUGUAAGCCUGUGAAGGUGGCCUGUGAGGGUUGCUGGAGGUAUCAGAAGUGCGAAUGCUGACAUAAGUAACGAUAAAGCGGGUGAAAAGCCCGCUCGCCGGAAGACCAAGGGUUCCUGUCCAACGUUAAUCGGGGCAGGGUGAGUCGACCCCUAAGGCGAGGCCGAAAGGCGUAGUCGAUGGGAAACAGGUUAAUAUUCCUGUACUUGGUGUUACUGCGAAGGGGGGACGGAGAAGGCUAUGUUGGCCGGGCGACGGUUGUCCCGGUUUAAGCGUGUAGGCUGGUUUUCCAGGCAAAUCCGGAAAACCAAGGCUGAGGCGUGAUGACGAGGCACUACGGUGCUGAAGCGACAAAUGCCCUGCUUCCAGGAAAAGCCUCUAAGCAUCAGGUAACAUCAAAUCGUACCCCAAACCGACACAGGUGGUCAGGUAGAGAAUACCAAGGCGCUUGAGAGAACUCGGGUGAAGGAACUAGGCAAAAUGGUGCCGUAACUUCGGGAGAAGGCACGCUGAUAUGUAGGUGAAGCGACUUGCUCGUGGAGCUGAAAUCAGUCGAAGAUACCAGCUGGCUGCAACUGUUUAUUAAAAACACAGCACUGUGCAAACACGAAAGUGGACGUAUACGGUGUGACGCCUGCCCGGUGCCGGAAGGUUAAUUGAUGGGGUUAGCGGUAACGCGAAGCUCUUGAUCGAAGCCCCGGUAAACGGCGGCCGUAACUAUAACGGUCCUAAGGUAGCGAAAUUCCUUGUCGGGUAAGUUCCGACCUGCACGAAUGGCGUAAUGAUGGCCAGGCUGUCUCCACCCGAGACUCAGUGAAAUUGAACUCGCUGUGAAGAUGCAGUGUACCCGCGGCAAGACGGAAAGACCCCGUGAACCUUUACUAUAGCUUGACACUGAACAUUGAGCCUUGAUGUGUAGGAUAGGUGGGAGGCUUUGAAGUGUGGACGCCAGUCUGCAUGGAGCCGGCCUUGAAAUACCACCCUUUAAUGUUUGAUGUUCUAACGUGGGCCCCUUACCGGGGUUGCGGACAGUGUCUGGUGGGUAGUUUGACUGGGGCGGUCUCCUCCUAAAGAGUAACGGAGGAGCACGAAGGUUGGCUAAUCCUGGUCGGACAUCAGGAGGUUAGUGCAAUGGCAUAAGCCAGCUUGACUGCGAGCGUGACGGCGCGAGCAGGUGCGAAAGCAGGUCAUAGUGAUCCGGUGGUUCUGAAUGGAAGGGCCAUCGCUCAACGGAUAAAAGGUACUCCGGGGAUAACAGGCUGAUACCGCCCAAGAGUUCAUAUCGACGGCGGUGUUUGGCACCUCGAUGUCGGCUCAUCACAUCCUGGGGCUGAAGUAGGUCCCAAGGGUAUGGCUGUUCGCCAUUUAAAGUGGUACGCGAGCUGGGUUUAGAACGUCGUGAGACAGUUCGGUCCCUAUCUGCCGUGGGCGCUGGAGAACUGAGGGGGGCUGCUCCUAGUACGAGAGGACCGGAGUGGACGCAUCACUGGUGUUCGGGUUGUCAUGCCAAUGGCACUGCCCGGUAGCUAAAUGCGGAAGAGAUAAGUGCUGAAAGCAUCUAAGCACGAAACUUGCCCCGAGAUGAGUUCUCCCUGACCCUUUAAGGGUCCUGAAGGAACGUUGAAGACGACGACGUUGAUAGGCCGGGUGUGUAAGCGCAGCGAUGCGUUGAGCUAACCGGUACUAAUGAACCGUGAGGCUUAACCUU
rnacentral:rRNA from 1 species